GGGUGACAGGUGGUGGCAUGGUUGUCGUCAGCUCGUGUCGUGAGAUGUUGGGUUAAGUCCCGCAACGAGCGCAACCCUCGACCUUAGUUGCCAGCAUUCAGUUGGGCACUCUAAGGUGACUGCCGGCUAAAAGUCGGAGGAAGGUGGGGAUGACGUCAAAUCAUCAUGCCCCUUAUGACCUGGGCUACACACGUGCUACAAUGGGCGGUACAAAGGGUCGCGAACCCGCGAGGGGGAGCCAAUCCCAAAAAGCCGCUCUCAGUUCGGAUUGCAGGCUGCAACUCGCCUGCAUGAAGCCGGAAUCGCUAGUAAUCGCGGAUCAGCAUGCCGCGGUGAAUACGUUCCCGGGCCUU
rnacentral:rRNA from 1 species